rnacentral:sRNA from 1 species
GAUUAUCUUCAACCAUAUGAAAAUGUAAAAUCUACUCUUGGCUCAUGGACUGUACAAAAGCAGGUGGCAGCCUAGAUUUGGCCCAGGGACUAUAGUUUGCCAACUCUUGAACUAGAUGACUCAAAUAGCAAAUUGUCCAUUAAAAUUCCUCUGUCAUCCAUGUGGCUUGUGUUCUGCUAACCUGUGUUUUAUAUACAGGGUAAAUUCAUGUUUUUUUUUCCUUCAGGGACACCAUAGGUGUGAAUGAAGAGACUCUAAAGGAGUUUAGCACAAUCUAUAAACACUUUGAUGAGAAUUUGACAGGGCGCCUGACUCACAAAGAGUUCCGGUCCUGCCUGAGAGGACUCAAUUACUACUUGCCUAUGGUGGAGGAGGAUGAACAUGAGCCCAAGUUUGAGAAGUUCCUGGAUGCUGUGGAUCCAGGGAGGAAGGGCUAUGUCUCACUGGAGGACUAUACUGCUUUCCUGAUUGACAAGGAGUCAGAAAACAUCAAGUCCAGUGAUGAAAUAGAGAAUGCCUUCCAAGCCCUGGCGGAGGGCAAGUCAUAUAUUACCAAAGAAGACAUGAAGCAGGUCCGAUUCUGGUUGCUUCCCUUACUACACUGUCAUCCUAAUUUGAAUUUUGGUCAUUUCAGGCCCAG